GAUGAACGCUGGCGGCGUGCCUAAUACAUGCAAGUCGAGCGAACAGAUGAGGAGCUUGCUCCUCUGACGUUAGCGGCGGACGGGUGAGUAACACGUGGAUAACCUACCUAUAAGACUGGGAUAACUUCGGGAAACCGGAGCUAAUACCGGAUAAUAUAUUGAACCGCAUGGUUCAAUAGUGAAAGACGGUUCUGCUGUCACUUAUAGAUGGAUCCGCGCCGCAUUAGCUAGUUGGUAAGGUAACGGCUUACCAAGGCAACGAUGCGUAGCCGACCUGAGAGGGUGAUCGGCCACACUGGAACUGAGACACGGUCCAGACUCCUACGGGAGGCAGCAGUAGGGAAUCUUCCGCAAUGGGCGAAAGCCUGACGGAGCAACGCCGCGUGAGUGAUAAAGGUCUUCGGAUCGUAAAACUCUGUUAUUAGGGAAGAACAAAUGUGUAAGUAACUAUGCACGUCUUGACGGUACCUAAUCAGAAAGCCACGGCUAACUACGUG
rnacentral:rRNA from 1 species